rnacentral:rRNA from 1 species
GAUGAACGCUGGCGGCGUGCCUAAUACAUGCAAGUCGAGCGAACGGACGAGAAGCUUGCUUCUCUGAUGUUAGCGGCGGACGGGUGAGUAACACGUGGAUAACCUACCUAUAAGACUGGGAUAACUUCGGGAAACCGGAGCUAAUACCGGAUAAUAUUUUGAACCGCAUGGUUCAAAAGUGAAAGACGGUCUUGCUGUCACUUAUAGAUGGAUCCGCGCUGCAUUAGCUAGUUGGUAAGGUAACGGCUUACCAAGGCAACGAUGCAUAGCCGACCUGAGAGGGUGAGCGGCCACACUGGAACUGAGACACGGUCCAGACUCCUACGGGAGGCAGCAGUAGGGAAUCUUCCGCAAUGGGCGAAAGCCUGACGGAGCACCGCCGCGUGAGUGAUGAAGGUCUUCGGAUCGUAAAACUCUGUUAUUAGGGAAGAACAUAUGUGUAAGUAACUGUGCACAUCUUGACGGUACCUAAUCAGAAAGCCACGGCUAACUACGUG